CCAGAUAUAGUUGUAAAUAAACAUAAUGUAGGCGAGGAUGUUCUUACAAAUGUAAGUCCUUUAAGGACUAUCUUUCCUUCAACCUCGUCCGAUAAGUAGAUUGUAACAGCCCUGUAUUCUUAAUGAAAUUUUAAUUUCUGUUUACUUGAGCUGUUUUUCGCUUUAUAAUUUAUCUCUCCUUCUCGUAACUGUAAUGCUUACAUUGUAUAUUUUUAUUCAUAAGCUUUUGCUGAACUAGAUUAGCCUUUAGUCAUGAGCCCGAUUCUUAGCUAACUGUCUGAACUUAUAAGUCAGAUCACAUACCUUCUAAUGGUGAUUAGCAGGGCUGCCUUUUUGCUUUUAGUUCUGUCUUGCCAGGAAAUGAAGCUGAGGUCCUUUCUUCCCAAAUUUCCCCCUUUACCUCCUCAACCUUUCAUUACAUGAGUGUUGAGGGGGUAAACGAUUGUUUCCUGUUUCCUUGGUUAUGAGCUCGGAUGUCUAUGUAUGGCGA
rnacentral:lncRNA from 1 species